UCCCUUGUGGCUCAGCUGGUAAAGAAUCCGCCUGCAAUGCGGGAGACCUGGGUUCGAUCCCUGGCUUGGGAA
rnacentral:tRNA from 1 species